AUUGAUUUAGUAUAUAAAGUAUUGAUCACUGUUAAUGAUUGGGAACCUCGGAGGGGUAGAGGUAGUCGGUG
rnacentral:tRNA from 1 species